rnacentral:ncRNA from 1 species
UGAUUAUAUAGAAGAGUGGAGAGAUCGGGCUCUGUGAAACUCUGGCAACCUUGUCCGCCAGCCGACGGAUAAAACGGUGCCAAUACCCGGCCGGAAACGGAAUUAUAAUUA